rnacentral:rRNA from 1 species
AGUCGCACGAGAAAGUGGAGCAAUCCAUGAGUAAAGUGGCGUACGGGUGAGUAACACGUGGGUAAUCUACCUCUUAGUGGGGAAUAACCCUGGGAAACCGGGGCUAAUACCGCAUAAGCUCGAGAGAGGAAAGCAGCAAUGCGCUGAGAGAGGAGCCCGCGGCCGAUUAGCUAGUUGGCAGGGUAAGAGCCUACCAAGGCAGAGAUCGGUGGCCGGCCUGAGAGGGCACACGGCCACACUGGCACUGAAACACGGGCCAGACUCCUACGGGAGGCAGCAGUGGGGAAUCUUGCACAAUGGGGGAAACCCUGAUGCAGCGACGCCGCGUGAGCGAUGAAGCCCUUCGGGGUGUAAAGCUCUUUCGUCAGGGAAGAUCAUGACGGUACCUGGAGAAGCAGCUGCGGCUAACUACGUGCCAGCAGCCGCGGUAAUACGUAGGCAGCGAGCGUUGUUCGGAGUUACUGGGCGUAAAGGGUGUGUAGGCGGUUCUUUAAGUUUGGUGUGAAAUCUCCCGGCUCAACCGGGAGGGUGCGCCGAAUACUGAGGGACUAGAGUGCGGGAGAGGAAAGUGGAAUUCCUGGUGUAGCGGUGAAAUGCGUAGAUAUCAGGAGGAACACCGGUGGUGUAGACGGCUUUCUGGACCGUAACUGACGCUGAGACACGAAAGCGUGGGUAGCAAACAGGAUUAGAUACCCUGGUAGUCCACGCCCUAAACGAUGCAUAUUUGGUGUGGGUCAUUCAGUUGAUCCGUGCCGGAGCUAACGCGUUAAAUAUGCCGCCUGGGGAGUACAGUCGCAAGG